rnacentral:rRNA from 1 species
CGUCUAUAUACGUAUAGCAUAUCAAUAAGCGGAGGAAAAGAAACUAACAAGGAUUCCCUUAGUAACGGCGAGUGAAGCGGGAAGAGCUCAAAUUUGAAAUCUUCAAGGUUCUACCUUGACGAAUUGUAGUUUAAAGAAGUGUUUUCUGUUGAAGUUUCGGUAAAAGUUCUUUGGAAUAGGACAUCAUAGAGGGUGAGAAUCCCGUAUUUGACCGUUAUUUUCCAGCUGUGUGAUACACUUUCAAAGAGUCGGAUUGUUUGGGAAUGCAGUCCAAAAUGGGUGGUAAAUUUCAUCUAAAGCUAAAUAUUGGCGAGAGACCGAUAGCGAACAAGUACCGUGAGGGAAAGAUGAAAAGAACUUUGAAAAGAGAGUUAAACAGUACGUGAAAUUGUCAAAAGGGAAGCGUUUGACACCAGUGUUGUUUUCUCGAAAAUCAAUUAAAAAAGGCUGGAUUUUGUGUUGUAUUGACUUUAUCAGCUUUCUGCACUCUUUUCUUGUCUUUUUUAAUGCACUUUUCGUUUAACAAGUCAACAUCAAUUUCUUUUGUUGUAAAAGGGUCAUUGGAAGGUGGCUUUCUUUUCGGAGAAAGUGUUUAUAGCCUUUGGCCUCUGCAAUCGGAGAGAUUGAGGUCUGCAGCGUAGAUCCUUCGGGGUUAGAUACAUUAGAUGCUAAGUUAUAGCUUUUAUAGACAACUUGUUGACUAUGAUUAAGUCAUGUAGCUUACUCGUUUACGCUAUUUUACCUACGCUUAGGAUGUUGACUGAUAUGUAGUCGUA